AACGCACAUUGCGCCCCUUGGUAUUCCGAGGGGCAUGCCUGUUCGAGCGUCAUUAUGACCAAUCACGCCCUGUGCGUGGACUUGGGGUUCGCGAUUCCGCGUCCCUUAAAAUCAGUGGCGGUGCCGUUGGGCUCUAAGCGUAGUAAUUCUUCUCGCUACAGGGUCUUGCGGUUGCUUGCCACAACCCCAACUUUCUUAGGUUGACCUCGGAUCAGGUAGGGAUACCCGCUGAACUUAA
rnacentral:misc_RNA from 1 species